rnacentral:rRNA from 1 species
GUCUAUGGCCAUACCACCCUGAACGUGCCUGAUCUCGUCUGAUCUCAGAAGCUAAGUAGGGUCAGUCCUGGUUAGUACUUGGAUGGGAGACUACCUAGGAAUACCAGGUCCUGUGGGUA